UACGUAGGGUGCGAGCGUUGUCCGGAAUUAUUGGGCGUAAAGGGCUCGUAGGCGGUCUGUCGCGUCGAUCGUGAAAACUUGGGGCUUAACCCUGAGCUUGCGGUCGAUACGGGCAUGACUGGAGUUCGGCAGGGGAGACUGGAAUUCCUGGUGUAGCGGUGAAAUGCGCAGAUAUCAGGAGGAACACCGGUGGCGAAGGCGGGAUCCUGGGCCAGUACUGACGCUGAGGAGCGAAAGCGUGGGGAGCAAACAGG
rnacentral:rRNA from 1 species